AUUGCAGCGAAUGCAUUACGACAGGCACUGUCAUUGUGUGAAUAAUUAAUGAUAUAGUGAUCCAAGCAUUACGUCGAGUUUGCCGUAAGCUUACCUCAUAGCCAUCAUAAGCCAGGUUUGCUGACGUAAGGGUAACGUAACCACACGGAAGAGCCAAAAAGUACUAUGGAGGAAUACAAACGCAAAAGCAGCAGCAGUAACAACAACAGAAAACAGUUUUGUUAGAUAAAUGGCCUUGGGCAAAAGUCUUUAUAACUGCAAUCACAUAAGUUAGUGGAAACAGUGUCAGGCUUUCCCAGAUGGAGACAAUAUAGUGAGAUUAUUUACCCAGUGUUUAUUCACAAGAUUGACCGAAGCUUAUUUUGAUGACCAAAUUAUGAACAAUGACCCACCCUGAGGCUGUAAGAGUGUGCCUGAUGAGAGAAUGCGUACUUGAACCAGUUAUAGGACUUAAUAUAUUCAAGAAGACCAAGCGAUCCUUAUAGGACUACAUGCAAAGCAAUGUACUCCAGACCGCACAACUGGACAUACAAAUUGUGCCCUGAUGCCAUCUGCCCCGUUCUCCCAGCCUCAUCUUCCCUCUCUAUGCCUAGCUUCACAUUGGUUGGCUCUUCUUUGGCUCUCUUCAUCCCGUCUGCCUGCCUCGCUGCUCUCCCUGAUAACAUUUCCUGACUGAUGCCUUGCACUCUGACUCUUUCUGCAAGGUGCCAUUCUCAGCAGUGACUCAAUUUAGUGCCACCCUGCUGCUUGGCAUUGCACUUCUGAGGUCAUCACCAUCUUUCUUCAGCCAACCAAAAUGAUUCUCACCAACCACCCCAGCUCUGCUAAGCUUGAUGUUGGAGGUCUGCUGUUUUUGAAGCAGGGGACCACUGUCCAUUAAAGGCUUCAUAAACCAUUUAACAAAAUCACAUAAGAUAGGGUAGUUCAUACUCCAUGCGAUGUGCCAUACAAUGGAAGGGCCAUGUUCCUUAUCACAUCUGGAUACUGCAAAGCUCCUGUCUCCUCAACAAUUUACGAACUAAUCAAUUAUUAAAUGAAGAAAUGCUAUGUAAAAGCAAAUAUAUUUCUUCCUGUGGAAUUUGAGUCUUAAAUUUAGUAAUUACUGUUUUAUGGCAUAAAUAAAAGCUAAAUAUUAUAUUA